GUAGCUGCUAAUUGGAACCAUUGCAGACAGGGAGGAGAGGGACAGCAGCAGCAGCAGCAGCCCUGGAAGUGGUAGUAAUUCCAACCUCAGCACUCCCACCCCCUCCUUACACCUAGCAGCAUGAGAGAGAGGAGAGAGACAUGCUAGCAGAGUGGAACAGAGGAGGCUGUUCAAGAACCAGGAGGGACCAGCUAUAUGUGGUCUUGGGCCAGCCCUGGGCUGUCUUUGUCUAGGGGAUCCUGGUGUUGAAAACCAACAGCAACUAGGUGAGCAAGGGCCUCGGAGAUAUACAGAGUAAGGAGACUACAUGGAAGGGCCACCAACAGACUCCCAGAGUUGCUGAUUAAAGACUCAGACCCCAGCCCUCACAGUCAGAGGCCAAGGUGUUCAUGAGAAAAAUGCACAAAAUCCCGACUGACCGGAAUAAUUCAUGAAGAAGGGGCUGAAUCCGUGGGUCAGAGAACACAGGACCAGUUUGCCAUCCCAAGGCGGAAGUCUGGUGACUCGGAUUUGGCCCUGCGUUUCCCACUCCUGCUGCAUCUUACCCAGUCGAGGAACGAAAGGUCUUGACACCUUCCUGAAGCAUGGGAAGAAAGGAGGUUCUGAAAGCACAGAUCCAAGACCACCAGAGGCCGGGGACAGCGAUUCCUGGAGGGGCCGCUCACACAACACCAGGAGCUGAGGAGAACUGGAGCAGGAGGAACAUGGGCCCAACAAGGGUGGAAAUACCAGCAAUUCCAAAAGUCAUCUACAUCAGUGCCCAGGACGCCCAUGCAGAACCCACUGAAUGGAAGAAAACGUGGUGGCUGCUUCCUCAAUUUGCAACUGCAGAAGCUGGAAUAAGGGCCUGAGAAGGCAGAGAAGCCACAUGAGUCCAGUCCCAAAGCUGUCAGAGUAACCCUGAGGGAACUGUCUACUGAAUUAUGACCAGUUGUGCCAACAGACAUUGAGAAGAGACCUCCUUUCCAUUGGCUCCUAUCACACCUGGCUGCCACUGCUCCUGGGAUCUGGACCAUCUUGUAUCCACCUUUGAGCGUCACUUCCUGUUUCAGCUGUGGGAGUUCUGGUCCACUUUCCCUGUGAAGAAACCUUCACUUUUUCCUCCUUUGGAGUUCUGGAUUAGACUCUUGUACCUGGAACUGGGUCAAGUUAGGCUAAACGCACCUCUAGGCAUUCCUGUUUCUCAGAAGUUGUCAAGUUCACAUCAUACCUGUUUCAUUGGUGACCAGGGGUCCACUUCUAGCAGAUGCUACCUGGCCUGGUCAGUAUUUUUCAUGGUCAUCUCUUUAGUGCCUUUAUCUCAUCCCCUGCCCAACUCAGGUGAGACUUGCCCAGUGGUGACUUCUCUCCUGGUACUUUAGAUAGGGAGAGAAAAUGUGGCUUGGUGGAUCUGCCAUCUUCUUCAGUUUGGAGGCAAUUGGAGCAUGGCUCCAUCUAGGGAGGAAAAUGACUCCGAAAGAGACUGUCCUUAUCUCAGCUUCUGCCCUGUUCUACUCUCACAAUCCUUAUUCUUGCCCUUUGUGCCUGUCGUAAUGCAGGAGAAUUGUGGUUUUCUUUUUUCUAUUAAAUAUAACUGUAGCUAUUUUCAUUAUUGCAAAACAGCACAAGCUUAUUACGAAAACAUGAGAAAUAUAGACAAUAGAAGACAAAAAAUAUUCCCAAAUUUUAUCCCAAAGACAAGACAACUAUUGAUUCAUAUAGUUAUACAAUAUCAUACACAUAUACUACAUAUAUUUAUAUAUUUAAUGUGACUAUAAUAUCACAAUACCAUUUAUAUUCUUUGAUAACACAUCUUGUCAUUUAAUGUCUUAUGAAUAUAUUUCUAUAGCAACAAGCUCAGCUAUACUGAAAUUUUAAGAGUACUCAAUUGUAUAUAUGCCCUCAUUUAUCUCAUCUCACAUAGUUUAAUGUUUAGGCUGUUACCUCCUUUUCUAUAUUGUCAUUAAUGAUCAUGGAUUUAGUUUAAUCUUCCUAUAAUUAUUUCCGUAAGGUAAAUCCUUAGAAAGGGAUCGAAGGAUGAGUAGUAAAGGUUGCAAAGCUCUCCGAAUCUGGAGCCAGCAAUAACUGCUCAGACUCCCUUAAAAAUAAGAGCUCUAGGAAGGCCACACAUGCCCUUUCCCAGAUUCCUUCCCAUAGCUACACUUGGGCAGCCCUGACUUCUUUCACCUUGCCCUGAACGGAGAAUAGCCCUGAGAGAUGGCUGAGGAACAGGUAGUGAAUGAGCGAGUGGUGGUGUCAGUUUGGGUUUGGUUUUUGGAUAAACUUCACAGUUCCUCAUUGGAUGCUGAGAAAUGAUUAUUCAUUCAUGACCCAUUUAUGGAAGAGCCAUUGCUUCCAGAUGCCAGGCUAGAGGCUGAGAAGACAGAGAUGGAUUAAACAGGAAUUCUUCUCUCAGGAAUAGCACAGCCUAGGGAAGGAAGGCCCGUGAUAGACAGCACACAUUUACUCCAUGAUAAAGAGGAAACGUAUAAGAUCAGUAAUAUAUCUCAGGGAAGAAAACUGGAACCAUCUAAAAUCCCACAGGGAAAAUAUGAGGUUCCUGCAGUCUACUAGCCCAUUCAUCUCAGCUAACACCUUUGUGUGGAUCCUUUGGUGGUGAGACUUGCUCGCUUGUGGUCAUCCUUGCUAAACACAACCUGCCCAAAGGCAUUGACCGUGUCCUUCCUUUGCACCUCUAGCAAACUGGUACCAUCUUAUACCAUGGCUUCUGAAAUCUGUUCAGUGUAAAAUCCAAAUUAGAGUAAACAAAAUUAAAGGUAAAGAGAUUCAUGAGUUGAAACAAAGACUCAAUGUUUUAUGUAUGUAAGAAAAUUUGCAUUAAUUCAUAUCCUUCUGCCUGAUAGAAACUUUCUCAGAUAUUUCAUUAUAGAAGAAACAAUCACAUUCCAGAAAAUGUGGGAAGUAGAGAAAAGGAGAAUUAUCAGCCCAUCUCACCAUCCUAACCCAGGGCAAAUAGCAUUCUAGUGACCUUUGCCCUGAAAAAUUUGUAUUAAGAUGGUGUUGAGGACAAGAGCUAAGGAACAUGUGAGUUUUUCAUCUCCAAUUUUAUUGUGAAUAAAUAUAUCUGAUAGUGAAUUAUAUUCAUGUAGUUCAAAAUUCAAAAACACAAAAACAGAGACUGAAAAGUCCAUGAACCCCAGCCUCUAUUACUUGGAGACAUCCAGGAGUCUCAGUGUCUUGUGUAUCCUUCUAGAGUUUUUGUGCAUAUUAAACCAUGCGUGUUUAUAAAAUAUGAGUUUUGACUAGAGGGCUUUGGCAAAACUGUUACCAAAUGUCCUAAAUUUAGCUAAACUAUCUUCAGUAAUUUUAAUGGCAGGCCUGAGGUACAGAUGGAGAAGAGAAAAGGAUGGAGAGAGCGAGAGAGAGAGAGAGAGAGAGAGAGAGAGAGAGAGUGCUCCUGAGGGAGAGCGUGAAAGAAAGAGCAAUCUUUCAUUUAUCCAACUAGUAUUUAUUGAGCAGAUAUUACAUCUCAGAUAUUAUUCUAUGCCCAGGUGAUACAAGAGUGAAAAAAAUUCCCUGACUUCAUGGGGAUUAAGAAUGGAAGGUGGCAAACAAUAACCAUAAUCAAAAAGUAAAUUAUAAAGUCCAUCAGAAUGUGAUAAGCGUUAUGGAAAAACACAAGUGGGGUCCAGGAGAUGAGGCACAUCAGGAGACAGUUUUAACAUGAGUGGUCAGGGAGGGCUUCACUGAGGAGGCCUUAAAGGAGGCGAGAAGAUGGGCCCUGCAGAUACUCAGGGAAAGGGCACUGCAGAGGGAAGAAGCAAUGCACAGGCCUCGCAGCAGAAGUCAAGGCCUGGAGGUUUCCAGCAGCCAACCUCCUCCAGCUCCGGGCUGUUCCUGGUAACCUGUGCCCGCAGCUGGCUUCCCUUGGAGUUCAGGUCAGGCCGGUGUGUUUGGGCCAUAGUGCUAAGCUUACUGUAUACUAGACGUCAGUUUGUCUUCUCUCUAAAUUUUGAUUCUGAUGCUUAAUUUGACUCCUUCCAAGGUGAUUCUGUGGUUAGUCUGAAUAAGGAAAGGAGAGGGGCAGUGUUAUUGUAGUAGGUAGACAAGGUUGACAUUUGGGGGUCCUGGCUUUUAAACCAAUUCUGUUUUCAAGUCUUUUGUCAGACACAUUAUUCAACCUUUCCGGUCCUCAGGUUUGUCUCUUAGGAAACAAAAAGAAUGUGCUUAGUUGGCUUUAGGGCUGUCCCUACCAUUGGUUUUCAAGCUCUGUGACCAUGUGAGCAGUCCAGGUAGGAAGUGGCAUCAGAUGACAUCUAGCAACACCAGGGGACACAGAGGAGCUUCUGCCUGCAGAGGACUGUGUGCAUGAUAUGUGCCGCCACCUCGUUUCCCUUCUAGACUAGAAGAGCCCAGACCAGAAGAGCCCAGACCAUCCUUCAAAUAGAAUAUUUCACCUGAAUAAGCCCAGAAUUCCCUAAGUGAACAGAGGAGACAUGGGGACACGGUUAAUUGCUUUGUUCUUGUGCCGUUGGCAGUAUGGUUCCCUUUAAGCCCAGAAGGGCUCCUUUCCCCUGCCCCUUGGCGGAGCUCAUUCUCCAUAUGCAGUAGGGGUGGCAUGCUGGGGCCAGGGCUCCUUGUUUUGUUCCUGUGGGCCACAGAGGUCCCCUCCCUGUUUAGUGUCUUCCAGUUGGACACAGGGAGUCUUCGUCUACCUGGGGAAUAAGACACUGAGGAGGAGGGAAGCGUGUCAUGGACACCACUCUCCUUCCAGCAAAGUCACUGUGAAUUUAAAACUCAGACUGUGUGUAAGAGGUUGUGGGGGCAGAAAGGGGCCUUUGGAAAUUUCAUUUGGAGGCAGAGGUGCUAAACAUGAAUAGAAGCCUUUGCUUUGACUCUCAGAGGGUGAGUCACCUUGGUUAUAGUUACUCUUGGUUAUUCCUUGCUUUUUCUUUUGUUAUCUCCGCCCGCACCCCCGCCAUACCCACCCAUCUUUAGCAUUCUUAGCUGCUUUUCUACAGGUCAGCUGAAAAGUGACUUGCAGAAUAGGGCUUCUCUUCCCCUAUUGGAGUUCAUGGGCAUUAUGUUUCCUAGCACUGGGAGGAAAUAUACACGACCAUGCACUUUCCACUCAUAAAGGACCCUGAGGUAUUUAAUUGUGAAAAUCAACUUCUGAUUUAUGUUACUUUCCCAGUGCCUUUUCUUUACACACAUAUGAAAAUUGCUCUAUUACUUCUUACAUUUCAUGCAGUGCCCUUUGUCUCCAUCAACUGUUGUGGAGAGAAAUUUUAUUUGGAAUAUUCAUAACAAGUCUAUCGCUAAUUAUCACUUUAACAAUGUGUUAUGGAGUGUAUCCAUGCAGUCAUCUGGAAAAGCACAUAUGCCAUGAAAUUUGGGGACUUGCUGUGUGCUGUAGGUGCCCAGUCUCAGUGUUUCAUCAGAUCUUUGCUUGGGGAGGAGGUAGAGGUGCUUUGUGAGGGAGUAUGGAGGCCUGCAUCCUGCAUUCCUGUCCUCAUAGCAACAGUUUCCAGGGUGACUUGUUUUUGAGUGUAAAAAAAACCUUAAUGUGAAACAAAAACCCUUCCCUACUCUGCAGCCCUAUUACGGUCAGCCCAGGUCAGUGCCAGGUAGACUGAUCUUAGCCACAGAGCUAAUCGCAGAUGAAGACCCUGCUGUUCUUGGUGCCAUCCUGGCACUCUGGCAAGAAGAGUGGAGCUAAAAUUGCCACCUGGUUGGCAGGCCUCAGAAGCAAAUGGAGAGUGACCUCAGCAUGUCAGAAUGAGAAAGGAAAGAAUGCCUCGGCGUUUCUUUCUUCCUGCUCUCUUUUCUCUGGGAAAGGAGAAUGGACUCACACUGGGUUUCUUCUCCAGGAUUCUCAGUGAGUCUGGGAUUUGGGAGGCUAGAAUCAUAUUUUUACCAGGACACAUGGAGCGCUUCCCUCUGAAGCUUCCUGAUGGACAUGGAUGAAGCCCCAGAGGCUGCCUCCAAAUGAGGGCAGAGUAAUGGAGCCUAAUGGAGCACAGCUCCUAGUCUGAGCACAGUCCUACCGCAGGGAUAAAUCAAGCAGCCUUUAGGUGGGGCCAGGAAGGGGACAGAGGGAAAUGAAUGACUGUGUUGAGCUCAGCAUGACUUUGUGGAUCCUCUGAAGCUUUUAACUAAGUGGAGGAUUCAGACUCAGGAAUUUACUGAGGAAUAUGACUUGGAAGGAUGGAAAGUUGCAUCUGUUAUAACAAGCUUUUAAGGAUGAGUUUUCAGAGCACUUGGAGCCUGGUUUUGUUGGAUGUUACUUUAGAAAUAAUAACUACUUAUUAUUUGUUAAGUGCUUACUCAGUACUAGGCACAUUGUUCAUCAUAAUCAAUAAUACCUAACAUUGAUGGAGUAUUUGUGAUGUACCAAACUCUCAAGCACUUUAGAUUCUGACUUAACUAGGUCCUAGAAGGAAGCCCCCAUUGGAGCCAUCACUAAUAUGUAGAGAAAUUGAGGCUCAGGGUAUUAGAUAACUUACCAGAAACACUAAGGAAACCAGUAGCUUUAGGUCAGUCACUUACCUGUUUCAGGACACAGAGCACAGAGGCUUUCCCCCUUUACCCUUUAUGAAACAGCAGGAGAGGACGGGGGCUGUAUCUCAGUGGUAGAGCUCUUGCCUAGCGUGUGCAAGGCUCUGGGUUUGAUCCCUUGUACCACAAAAACAAAACAACCAUAACAACAGCAAAACCAGCAGGAGAAAGUGCUGAGAAACAGCAAGAAAGUGGGGCACUGAAAGGGGACAGGAGUCUGUGUAGCCCUGGGUCAGUGCUGGUACAAAGCUGGCCUUAUGACCUGGGUGCUUUGCAUCUGUUAUAAUGCACUGUGAAAACCCAGUGUUAGCUGUUGUCCUAAAGAACUGAUUCAAUAAACCCUACAUUUCUGGACAUUUGGUUUCCUUGUUUCUAUUUGGGUGGCACUAGGAUUUGGGAGGAGCUAGUUGGGAAUGUAUUUAAGGAGGAAAACUUUGGAUGUGGUUUUAGAAACAAGGCACCACAACCAGACUGUGAUGCAGGCUUCAUCUGUGGACAGGUGUAUGUGGACAGGUGCAUUGUGCAGGCACCAGCGCGGGCAGAGGAAGUGGUAGGUUUGAAGGUAGCAAAAUAGGGCGGCUUUGUUGUUGUCUGGCAUGGGCCCUGCCAGGCCACAUCCAUUAACUAUGCCAACACCACUGCUAAUAGGUGGGUGAUUCAGCUCCUUCCUGCAUUUUAUUGCCCAACAGAGACUUUAAUAGCCUUUUGAUUUAGCAAGUUAACAAAGUAAGCUCUCAAGCUCCACUGUUUAACACCAGCUGGAUGACCCUGGGCCUGCUGCUGCCUGGAGCCCUCUGGUACAGUCUUUGCAUUGAAAGAAGAGAAAGCUGUGGAAUUUUCAGGCUCUCCUCGAGAGCUCCUUUUGGGGCAGCCCUGCCAGCCCAGCAUGCUUAGACCCCUCCGAUGUCAUAUGUCGCCCCCGCCCCCAUCAGUCCAGCCGCAGAAGAGAUCUGUCUAGAAGUUAAUAUCCCAGGAACCUAAAGGUUGGGUGUCUUUGAGGAAGAGUGUCAGAUGAGAAUGUGAGGGUUCCCGGAUGGGGCUCUUUAUUGAUUUCCUGGAACUAUUGUGUAACAAAUUAUCACAAACUGGAUAAUUUAAACAAUAAACACAUUCUACCACAGUUCUAAAAGCCAGAAGUUUGAACUCAAGGUGUUGGUAGGGCCAUGCUCCCUCAGAAGGCCCUAGAGAAGGACCUUUGCAUGUCUCUUACUGGCUUCUGGUGGUUGCCAGUGAUCCUUACUGUCCCUUAGCUCGUAGACACAUCACUCUGUCUCUGCCUCUGUGGCCACACAGCCUUCUCCCUGUGUACGUCUUAUAAGGACACAAGCUGUAUUGGAUUUGGGGUCCACACAACUCCAGGAUGCUCUCAUCUUAACUAGUUACAGCUGGAAAGGCCCUGUUUGAAAGCAACAUAAGAGUCUGAGGUUCUGGGUGGACCUGAAUGUCCAGGCCCUUUAAAAGCAAGUGAAAAGAGGUAGGCCAUGUGGUAGCUGAUUCACACAGCUAGAGAGAGGUGGUUUCAGACAACACUUUCUGGUACAACUUUGUGCAGUGAUGGGAAGGCCCUGUAGCUGCACUGCUGAAAAUGUGGCUAAUGCGACAGAGGAACUGAAUUUAGCAUUGUGAUUGAUUUAAAUUAAGUUAAACAGUCAAGUCAUGUGACCAGGGGCUACUGUUGCAGAGAGCAAAGCCCUCAACCAGUGAAGGUGAACCUUUUAGAAACUGAGUGCCCAAACUGCAACAUAGAACCUACUUAUUUAUCGCAAAGUGCCAACACUGCCAUUAAACCCGAAUACUGAGGCUUUAGUUUAGAAAAGACAACUCAUAUAAUAAUAUCUUUUGUCUUGAAAGAAAAACAAAUAACACACGUGUCAUAGGUUCACCACCGCUGCCCUAAACCCUCCUGAGUGUGGAAUAGGAGAAGGAGACGUGAAGGCUGUCAAAGUCUGGGCAGGGCCAUUUGCAUCCAGGAUGGCCAUCAGCUGUUUAGGAUGCUGAUCAAGGUCUGCAGGGGUCUCUUUCCGUCUCCGGCUAGAGGAAGGACAUCACAUGGGAUCUCAGCACACAGGACAAUGGUCUCGGGAGUUCUUAAACCAGCAGCACCUCUUCCAAAGGAAGUCAUUUGUACUUUUGACAUGUAGGACCAUUAGUUGGAAGAGAGGCUGAUUUGGAUGGAGGUCAGAGACCUUCAUAGGGUUCCACCUUGCCUUCUCUUGAACCCUGAACCACAAAGUGAGGAAAUUAUGGUUGAGCCUACCAACCAUGUGAGAGAACAAGAAAUGGAGGUUCAGAGAAGUAGAGAAACUUAACAAGGUCACAGAGCAAGUGGUUUGAUGAAUAUCGUUAUCUUUGGAUUUCUGAGGAUCCAUUCCUGGGUCCUUCUAAAGUCCUUGAUGCCCUUUUUGAAAGAAGAUACUCAGUCUACUAGUCAGCUACUAUGAAAAAACUACUCUAAGGUCAGAUGCAACUUCUGGCUUAAUCACAACAGAAUUAAUGUUUGUUCGGUUGCUGGUUUUGUUUUGUGAACUGGCUGAGAUCUGUAGGUGAGUAUUAUGCAUGGGUACCCUUUCCAGGUGCCACUCAUCAAAUGCACACUAUAUGCCAUUACAGGCUGAGUAGAGUCCUUCAUUUCAUUGUAUCAUUGAAUCUCCAUAGGUUGGUGAUGUUGGUAUUACUGAUCCCAUUUGGGGAAAACUGAGGCUCAUGGGAGUGGGAGGCAGGGUUCCCAACCCAUGCCUUUUGCUCAGGGAGUUGCUGUCUCCUUAGAAGGAUGGUAAAGAAAUAUAAAAUAUCUGUCAUGAAUUAGGAAGAAUGUCCUAAAAUCUCAAGGUGCCAUUUAAAGGCAAAGACCAGUGUGGCUCGUGAGGGAAGGAGAGGCCAGACCAGGAGGUGACCACAAGCAGGUACAAGGCAGCCAGGCAUCCCAACGCAAUGCUGUGGUAAGAAAGCAAGGAGUAGAACAGCGUUGUGGAAAGUGAAAACCGCCUAGGAUGUGUGGGAGGCUGGAGGCAGAUGGGUGUGGAUGAGAAGGGCAAUAGGAGGGAUCCUUGUGUGAUGGAAAUGCUCUGUCUUUUCCCUGUAUCCAUGACUUGCCAUGAUAUUGUGGUAUAAGGUAGUUUUGCAAGACGUCGGCAUUGGGGGAAACUGGGUGAAGGGUACGUGAGAAUUCUAUGUGAAUCUAUACAAGUUUAAUUUUUAAAAUAUAUACAGAGUCUACUCCCAAAAAUGUAUAUACACUCCAAGAAAAGAAAUAUAGGAUGAUGUUUUUCCAACCCUCGUAUGGGGGAUCCUAGAGGAUGUCGUAUAUCGCAGAAAACCCACUCCACUGCUAGCCCUUAGAGAAGAAAUUAAAAGUACACGUGCAGCAAUUUCAAUGACCAAGGUUACACAAGCAGUAGUUGGCUGUACUAACAAAGUUCUGGAAGCCAGUGACCACACUUUGGCCACCUCUUGUAACUGUAGAGGCUGAAGGUAACUUACAUUAAACUCAUGAUGUCUCAAUAAAUUUAGUAUUAAAAUAUUUAUACAAGCUUUUCUUUUCUUGAAGUGCAUAUACUUUUUUGGUGAACUCUGUAUAUAUAUGGGAGAGAGAGUGGAGUUCACAGACCCCCAGCCCUUCACCCCUUGCAUGCACUCCAGGAGAAGCUUGCAUGGUGUCUUUUUGCAGCAAGGUAUCUUCAGGUGUCUGUCCUGGAUGCCUUUGGGCAGGACCAAGAGGAAUACAUGCCUGAGAGCUAGGCAGAUGGCACUCGGAGAGACAGAUGGCCAGAAUCCCCAGAGGUGGGAGCACUCACUGAGCACCUACUAGGUGCCAGGUGCUGUUCCAGGGCUAGAGACUGAGGUUAGGAAAGCUGGUGCAGCUUCCCACAGGUUUGCAUUGUACAGUUGAAGACAGAUGUAAACCAGGAACAGGGCAAUGCCAGGUGGUGACAGGUGCUGUGAAGAAGAUGAAAGAGCAGAGUGUGACAGAGUAGCUGGGGGCUGCUUUUGCUGGAGCAGUCAGGGAAGGCUUCUUUGAGGAAAACCUAAGUGAGAAGGAGGCAGCCAUGGGGACAUGUGAGGGAGAGUAUUCUAUGCAGGAGGAAGAGCAGGUGCAGGAUCUCUGAGACAGGAAUAAGCUUGUGCACGAGGGGCAAGAUGAAGACCAUAGGAAGGGAAGCACUGGCAUUGGGAGCUGGAGGGCGAUGAAGCUAAAAAGACAGGCAAAGGCCAGAUCCUAUAGGCAGGUGCUUGCAGAUGUUGGUAAGGAGUUGGUAUUGGGAGUCUCUGGCAGGUCUGAAGUAGGUACAUGGCCAGCUAUGUGUGGAUGGGUUUUAGAAGGGCAGGAGUGGAAAAUAGUAGACCACAUUGUACUACUGCAAUGGUCCAUGCAAGAGGGCAGUGUCAUGAGUAGGGCUUUGGCAUUGGCAUGGGAAACCUGUUGGAUUGGGGUUGCUCUGAGAGGAGAGCUAUCAGAGAUUUGCUGGUGGUUUACACAUGGAUGCGAUGGCAAGAAAAAGAUCCAGGAUGAUUCCCAGGUCUGCUGUUUCAUUCUAUCCCAGCUAACUCCAAAGGACUGGUCAGAGAAUGUCCUUCAGAGAAUAGCACUAAAAAUAGAUGAGAAUUGGGCUGAGCCUCAAAAAGUGUGGGUUGAAGGGGUGACCCCCUCACCAGUUUCACCACUCUGGUCCUUAGGCUCUUUCUUGCUGCAGGGAGCAGACCUGCUCUGCUUUUCUUGUACAUGGAGCUGAUUGUAAGAUGGUGGUGAGGUGAGGGGGUUUGGCAGCCAUCCUGGCAGUGGUCCUGUGACACCCAGGAGAACGGGGGCACAGUCUUCCCCCACCUAAGCAGCUAUCAGCAGACAUCAUAUACUGUCCAUGUCUCCACUGUUCUGAGCCAGCUGUGGUUUGGAGCCCCCUGCAGACAUGCUGCCUCCUCCUUCACUCUCUGGGCUGCACACUCCAGAUGCCCUGCAGGGAGAGUCUCCUAGGAUUGGCUGGUCCAUCCAGGCCAUGUCUGCAGGGCAGAGGGCUCGGGCCAGGCCAUUGCCAAGGCAGCUGGAGUCCUUGAUGCAUCCCCCAAAAGCCAUUGCCUUUGACUUGUUCUGGGCCUAGUUGUGGCCCAAGCAUCAUGGAACAGAAAAUGUGCAUAGCAGCACAAGUGCCCGGGGCUGGGUGUGACCUCCAGAGGUGUGGCAGGCAUUGGCAUAGACGUCCUGGACACAAAAGCUGUGCAAUUCAGGAAGGCCAGUGUCCAGUGGAUGAGAAGGACCUAACAUGUCAGUAAGGUGGACAGCUUCUGUCGGCAAAAGUGGGAGGCACGCAGAAAAUAACCUUGGAUUUGUGUAAUAGUAUCUCUUGUGAUGUGGGAUUAAUUUUAUCUUUGGUGCUGCAUCUUUGGUGGCCCAGGGAACGCUGCAUUUCUCCACUCUCUUCCGUCCAUCAAAGUGGCUCCUCAAAGAGCACUUCUCACAUUCCUCACCCCAAGGAUAGAACAGAAUCACCUCAAGCACAGAACCAUGGCCCUAGGGGACAUGGCCUUCACCUGCUUCCUUUUUAUCUGCCUCGCCUAAUUCAUCUUUCCUUUCUUUUUCUCCCUUAAUCCCUCGAAGUUAGCCAGGGAGGGGCAGAAAGGAAUCUUGGUUUUUGUCUGACUCUAUAGGAGUACAGUUGCUAGAACUGAACUGUGUUUCCCCUAAAUUCCUAGGUUGAGCCCGAAUCCUACUGUAAGUGUAUGUGGACAGAGGCCUUGAGGGGGGAAAGGGUCCUGCAGAGCACUGGUAUUCUUAGGAGAAGAGACGCUAGAGGUUGCUUCCUCCCCUGCACACACAGAGGAAAGUUCAUCGGGGUCAGACAGAAGGCAGAUGUCUACAAGCCAGGAAGAAAGUCCUCACUAGACAGCUAAUCCUCAGAACCUUGAUCUGAGACUCCGCAGCCUCCAGAACUUUGUGAAAUUACAC
rnacentral:lncRNA from 1 species